AUAGGAUCUAGACGCGGCCAAUCUUCAUACGACCAUGCAAACAUAUCCGGAUAUUCGCCGGAGGAGUUGGAUGAUCUUCUUUUUAACCCCUUCCUCUAGAGCAGCACCGAUCUUGAUUUCUCGCUUGUUCUCCUUGGUACCUAUGUUGAUAAGCUCAAUCUCUUCUUGG
rnacentral:pre_miRNA from 1 species